GGAUGAGAGGGCAAUAUGGCUGCAACAUCACUGACCCCAUUGAUCAUGAAGUUGGUUUGGCUGAUCUGGCUUCCUCCCUCAUGGAUCCAUGCAUCUAUCCUAAAGCUGCAUGUCAGCGGGAGACCUUCUCUGAUGGAGGAGGACUGUUGUUCCUUUGAGGGUAUUCAAAAGGCUGUGCUGAACCUCCAAACAGGCUCUCAGUGUUUUAUAGAUGGAACUGUACAGUGGGUAACUGGUGGAGUCUGUUUUGUCUUGGUCAUCUCUCCAAGUUGCUGUGUGGUAAUAUCUUG
rnacentral:snRNA from 1 species